AUACAUAUCCCUUAGGUAGUAAUAUCAAGCAUCUAGCAAACACAAGAAGAGAAUGCCAUUAACAUAUUUGGUGGCUGUCAUCGUUCUUGUGAGCUCAUAUGAUAUUUCAUCAGCUGAUUUACCUAUAAAAAUAGUGCGACACGAAUUAAAAGGACGUGCUGAAAUAUUUCAUAAUGGACACUGGGGUUCUAUUUGUGAUGAUAGCUGGACCGAUGCAAGUUCUGCAGUUUUCUGUAGGAUGCUUGG
rnacentral:lncRNA from 1 species